rnacentral:misc_RNA from 1 species
AGUCUUCCAAUUGACAUAACACUGCAGGAAUCAACCUAUGAGGAUUCUGACAACCCUGAUUAUGAACCGAGUUUUGUGUUGUCAGCAAUGAUUCCCGAUGGAACUGGCCGCAGUGUAGAAGAAGUGGCAUAUGAAGAGGUUGAGUUUGGUUUGGAAGUAGAUUACCAACACAGUUGAUGAACAGGAUGUUGAAGAAAUGUAUGACAGACCUGGCAUUACGAAAGUUUCCACAGACCAGCAGUAUGAUGAUCUUUCUUCGUAUACACUGUGCCUGUCAUUCCUGCCACAAUUGAAGUUGUUGGCAAGUAUCACAGUGACUAAGUGUUGCAGUUGCAACGAGCCAGUCCAACUUACAGACAGCUUUGUAGGCUCAGCAUUAUAUUUCAAAUGGGUAUGUAACAAUGGUCAUGUUAGCAAGGAGUGGUGUUCCCAGCAAAUCUUGAACAAAUGCCUCCAUACUCCAUUGGGAGAUUCCUUAGUGUGUGGUUCCAUACUGGCAUCAGGAAACAACUACGGGAAGCUGUGUUUGUGGGCUAAGAUGUUGAAUCUUAGAUUUCCAUCAUCAGACCAGUUUCACAGAAUACAGUCUACAUAUCUUGUGCCCACUAUUGACCAGUACUGGCAGGAGCAUCUGCAGGGCAUUAUUGAUAAAUUUAGAGGACAAGAAGUUGUUGUAUUAGGUGAUGGCCGAAACGACUUGCCAGGGCAUAGUUUCCAGUAUUGUUCAUACACUCUGAUGGAAGAAAGGAUUAAAUCUAUAAUGACCAUCAAAACUCUUGACAAAAGAGUAACAGACAGAAAAUCUGUUAAUAUAGAAAAACUAGGCUUUGAAAAAAGGAAUGGCGGAGCUGGGAAAUGAAGGGGUUGAAGUGAAGAAAGUAGUUACAGAUGCUCACCUUGGUAUAGGAACAAUAAUGAAGUCAAGGUAUCCAGAUUUAAAGCAUUCACACGACAUUUGGCAUGUAGCCAAGAAUCUUGGGG